UGCUAGAGCAUGCGCAGAGUCGCAAUGAUUAUCUUCAAAAGGAGAAUGCUGCUGAUUUUCUGAAAGAGAAUGAUGAACUUCAAAAUCUGAGAGUUAUUCUUCAAAAGAAAUAUUCAAUUCUUCUUGGAUUUGGGGAGAGAAUGAAUUGGGCAAGUUUAAGUGAAGAUCUACAGAUAGAGAUAUUAGUUCGUCUACCGAAAAAAUCAUUGAUGCGUUACAAAAGUGUUCAACGAUCUUGGAACAUUCUAUUUGAAACUCCUUCCUUUGUCAAUAAGAGGAUGUUGCACAAUUCUCACAAUGGUCGUGCUGCAAAUGAAUCAUUCAAGUUUACAUACCCCAAAAGGAGUAGAUACCCGAAAAGGAGAUCUUGGGUAAAA